rnacentral:tRNA from 1 species
UCCCUGGUGACCUAGUGGUUAAGGGUCCAGCGUUGUCAGUGCUGUGGCACAGGUUUGAUCCCUGGCCGGGGAA